AAGGCCAAAUGGAUCAGCCUUUCCUCAGUCUCAUACUUGUGUUCCCUACACACGCUCCGCCUCACUUCACCGCAAAAGGGCUAGGGUUCGCAAUUGCGAGUCAUCAUCGCUAUCGUGGAGGGUCUCGCUUGGGGACGUGCUGACGGCGAUCACGUGAGUUGUGUGCCUCCGAGGUUGAUGUUCUCGUGUUUUGGGGGUUAGGGUUUCGUGCGAGUUUGAAGCAUACGCGUUUGGCUGAAGGUUUGGAUCAAGGUUCUGGUAUUGAAGGUUGUGGUUCCAAAAGUGAAGUAGGUGGACCAAAACAGAGAUGGCUUUUACUGUGGAGGUUAACCAUGGGGGUUAUUUUACUCCUGAACCCUUUUUGAAGUAUUUUGGAGGAGACAUAACUCUGUUAUCAGAGAUAGACAUUGACAAAUGGAGCUUUUUUGAAUUUGUUGGGAUUCUGAAGCAGGAUGUUAAGAUUAAGGGAGAUUUUAAGUUAUGCUGGGAGGGGGCUAAUGCUGGAUUUAAAGAGUUGGUGUUGGAUAGCCAUGUUGCUGAGGUGCUAAAUUUUGGGUUGAGUCAAAACUCUCCAAUGGAAGUUUAUGUGGAGAAGUUAAAUCAUGGGUUGGUUGAUGAUGUGAAUGUUGUUGAUGUGGAGGAAGGUGUUGGUGGUGGGAUUGUUGAGCCUGAAGGUGCUGCUAUUUCUGAUAGUGACUCUGAUGAAGGUAGUUUGAAAGUGAUUUUGAUGGAGAUAAUGAUGGUGUUCUUUUUGAAGAUAGUGAGGAGGAGGGAGCAGUUGCAGUUGAUGAUGGUUUUGAUGAGGAUGAACCUUUGGUUAACCUGAUUUUGAGGAAAAAAAGGAAAAGCUCAAGCUGAUGGUGAGAUUGGAUCUAAUGGUGUUGAUAAGCAUGUAGAAGGAGAUGAUGAGAUGACUGAGGGGUAUGAAACUGAAUAAGUUGUUAGUGGUGGAUCAGAAUCUAAUGAAAAGGAUGUAGGUAAGUUUGUAAGAUUUAGAAAAGAAGAGUUGAGCAGAGAUUUUCAGUUCAAGGUGGGUUUGGAUUUCUCCAGUAUACAUGAGUUCAAAGAAGCAAUACUUGAACAUUCUAUCCUGAAUGGGAGACAAAUUGUGUUUAGACCAAAUGACAGAGUAAGGGCCAGGGCAAAGUGCAACCAAAAAUUUGGUCAUGUGAUUUUUUGCAGCAAGGUUGGGAGGAGUGAAAUUUACAAGAUUAAGACUUGUAGACCAAAACAUCACUGUGGUAAGGUUUUCAAAAACAAGAAUGCAAGCUCUGAGUGGGUGGCUAUGCUUUCUGCAGAGAAACUGAGGUCCAACAAUGAUAUUAAAUUGACACAAAUAAUGGAUGAUGUCAUAUUCAGAUAUGGCAUUGCCAUAAGUUUGGUUGUUGCUUGGAAACUGGAUGAUUGCUAGAGGAAUAGUUGAUGAGGCGGCUAUCAGACAAUACUCAUAUCUUAAGACUUAUGGUGAUGAGCUUAAGCAUGUCUGCGUAGGGAAUAGCUAUAAACUGAUAUUAGAAAGACUGCAAGAGUUGUUGCUGCCUAGGUUUGGUAGCUUCUAUAUGUGCCUAAUUAUUGAUUGCAGUUGGGAGAGAUCCCAACGAUCAAUAUCUCCCUUUAGCAUUUGUUGUUGUGGAGAAUGAAACAGAGAAUUCUUGGAAGUGGUUUUUGGAGCUUCUUGUAGCCGAUAUUGGAGAGAUAGAUGCCAACAAACCUCUUUAUACAUGUAAUUUUAUUUGGACUUGUUUGCUUGAUACCAACAAAUUUAUUCUUUCUAUUGCAAGGAUUGGUUCAAACACUUGGAGCAUAGGGGCCGGUGAAGAGAAUAGGUUUUGCUUGAGACACUUGUAUCAAAACUUCAAGAAUUUUUUUGGUGGAGGGACACUUCUGAGAGAUCUAAUGAUGGGUGCAGCAAAGGCAACAUAUGUGCAAGCACAUGAUUGGGUGAUGAUGACUGUUGACAAAAAUGCAUGGUGCAAGCAUGCCUUUUCUCGUUAUCCUAAAUGUGAUCUAUUGAUGAAUAAUUUGAGUGAAGCUUUCAAUAGCACUAUUUUAGUGGCAAGGGAGAAACCAAUAAUAACAUUAUUUGAGUGGAUUAGGUCGUAUUUAAUGGCUAGGUUUGUUACACAAUAACAAAAGCUAGCAAAAUAUAGUGGUGAAAUUAUGCCUAAACCCAUGAAGAGGCUAGAUGGGGAAAUUGAGCUUAGUCGUAACUGGAGUUCAAGUACUCUUAUAAGAUAUUAGAGAUUACCCAUGUUUUAAAUGGUGAAAAGUUUGUUGUGAACUUGCACCAUAAUUCUUGUACUUCCAAUUUCUGGGGUAUAGUUGGUAUCCCUUAUCACCAUGCGGUGGCAACCUUGUAGUAUGUUGGUCAAAAACCUGAAAAGUUUGUCCAUCAGUAUUAUAAUAGAAUAUAUUGUGAACUGUGCUACUCAAAUGAAGUGUCUGCUAUGAAUGAACAAAGGAUGUGGGCAAAUGUCAGAAAUGUGGAAUCUGUUUUGCCACCUGAAUAUAAGAGAGGUCCAGGUCGACCCAAGAACUUAAGGAGAAGGAUCCUACUAAAUUGAGGAAAAAAACAACACCUUACCAGUGUAGAAGAUGCGGAAAAAUUGGACACAAUCAGAGGAAGUGUGAUUUGCUUCCUCCUACCGUUGAUGAGGAAGCUGUCAAUGCAGUGCUUAUGGCUGAAAAUGGAGUGCCAAUGCAGUGCCUGUGGCUGAAAAUGGAGUGCCAAUGCAGUGCCUGUGGCUGAAAAUGCAGUGCCUGAAGCUGGAAAUGUAAUGCCUAUUACUCAGUCACAACAAGCUGGGAAUGAUCUACAUAAUAACAUGUAAAUGAGCAGAAUGCUGGAAAGGUGCAGAAAAGAAAAGCACCUGCCAAGCCUGCAAAACCAGCUCAUGUCAAGCCUGCAAAACCAACACCUGUUAGUGUCAAGAUUGCAAAAGCAGCUCCUGUCAAGACUGCAAAACCAGCUCCUAUCAAGAAUGCAAAACUAGCAGGUAAAUCUAAGCAACCAUCAACCAACACUGAUUAAGAAGGAUGUUUUGUAUGUUCUACCAUUGGAUCUGCACAACUAAAGAAUACUGCUGCUACACCAGCUGCAACAAGUCCUGUUGGCCAUUAUACAAAAAUGUCUUAUGGUAUUGCAAAGUCAGCUAACACGGGAAAACGUAAGGAUGCUGUAUUGCACAACAACAAUGAUAAAGCUAAGAAAAAGAUGAAGCUAUCUGAAAGGACAACACCCUCUGCAAACGCAGCCCCAUCAAGCAUUCAUAAGCUGAAAAAGUUGUGUGAAUUGACAAAAGGGUCAAUCUAUGCAUGAUGUGAUUGAAAGUAAAAUAAUGCAAUCAACCAGAUUGAUAAAAUUGUGCAUGAGCUUGGCUUAUCCAAACAAAGCAAAAUCAAAUGGACAAGCAAAUAUUCAGAAGGGUGAUAAGGAAAAAUAUGAUGCGAAAGUGCAAAAGAAGGCCCAAGGUUUGAAGCCACCAAGACCAGUCACAAAAAGCUCCGCCACAACAACAAAGGAAUCUUUGUCACAAGAAGUUAAUAGCCCUACUCUAGGGCUGCAAAAAACACCUAAAAAAUAGUAAUGGACAUUGUUACAUGCACCCAACAAAAUUGCUGGUACACUCAGCAAUUAUGCGCUUUUUUCAUUUUCCGUAUGAGGUUUACGGAUUAGCUGAUCUAUAUGAGCCUAAUUCAGAGGGUGCUUGCACUUGUCGCCAAAUUCACGUUCCUAAUUCAACAACUUUACGUUUUUGGGUUUUUUAUUUUUACAAAUAUCUUUGAAGGAAAGUUUAUGUUGUACAUCUUAAUAAGAUUUUGACAGGAUAUGUAAUGGAAAUUUGUUCUUGUUAAGGGAUCUUAGUAAGAUUUUAUCAAAGUACACAAUAUAAACUUGAUUUUGUUAUGUAUGUUUACAAAAUCUUGCCAAGAUGUAAAAUAGAAGCAAGUUUUCUUGGUGUAUCUUGACAAAUUCUUUCCAAGACAUACUAUAAUCCCACGAAUACAUUUUUCU